rnacentral:rRNA from 1 species
CUGGGGGGUAGAGCACUGUUUCGGCUAGGGGGUCAUCCCGACUUACCAAACCGAUGCAAACUCCGAAUACCCAGAAGUGCCGAGCAUGGGAGACACACGGCGGGUGCUAACGUCCGUCGUGAAAAGGGAAACAACCCAGACCGCCAGCUAAGGUCCCAAAGUUGUGGUUAAGUGGUAAACGAUGUGGGAAGGCUUAGACAGCUAGGAGGUUGGCUUAGAAGCAGCCAUCCUUUAAAGAAAGCGUAAUAGCUCACUAGUCGAGUCGGCCUGCGCGGAAGAUGUAACGGGGCUCAAACCACACACCGAAGCUGCGGGUGUCACGUAAGUGACGCGGUAGAGGAGCGUUCUGUAAGCCUGUGAAGGUGAGUUGAGAAGCUUGCUGGAGGUAUCAGAAGUGCGAAUGCUGACAUGAGUAACGACAAUGGGUGUGAAAAACACCCACGCCGAAAGACCAAGGGUUCCUGCGCAACGUUAAUCGACGCAGGGUUAGUCGGUUCCUAAGGCGAGGCUGAAAAGCGUAGUCGAUGGGAAACAGGUUAAUAUUCCUGUACUUCUGGUUACUGCGAUGGAGGGACGGAGAAGGCUAGGCCAGCUUGGCGUUGGUUGUCCAAGUUUAAGGUGGUAGGCUGAAAUCUUAGGUAAAUCCGGGGUUUCAAGGCCGAGAGCUGAUGACGAGUCGUCUUUUAGAUGACGAAGUGGUUGAUGCCAUGCUUCCAAGAAAAGCUUCUAAGCUUCAGGUAACCAGGAACCGUACCCCAAACCGACACAGGUGGUCGGGUAGAGAAUACCAAGGCGCUUGAGAGAACUCGGGUGAAGGAACUAGGCAAAAUGGCACCGUAACUUCGGGAGAAGGUGCGCCGGCUAGGGUGAAGGAUUUACUCCGUAAGCUCUGGCUGGUCGAAGAUACCAGGCCGCUGCGACUGUUUAUUAAAAACACAGCACUCUGCAAACACGAAAGUGGACGUAUAGGGUGUGACGCCUGCCCGGUGCCGGAAGGUUAAUUGAUGGGGUUAGCGCAAGCGAAGCUCUUGAUCGAAGCCCCGGUAAACGGCGGCCGUAACUAUAACGGUCCUAAGGUAGCGAAAUUCCUUGUCGGGUAAGUUCCGACCUGCACGAAUGGCGUAACGAUGGCGGCGCUGUCUCCACCCGAGACUCAGUGAAAUUGAAAUCGCUGUGAAGAUGCAGUGUAUCCGCGGCUAGACGGAAAGACCCCGUGAACCUUUACUGUAGCUUUGCACUGGACUUUGAGCCUGCUUGUGUAGGAUAGGUGGGAGGCUUUGAAGCGUGGACGCCAGUUCGCGUGGAGCCAUCCUUGAAAUACCACCCUGGCAUGCUUGAGGUUCUAACUCUGGUCCGUGAUCCGGAUCGAGGACAGUGUAUGGUGGGCAGUUUGACUGGGGCGGUCUCCUCCUAAAGAGUAACGGAGGAGUACGAAGGUGCGCUCAGACCGGUCGGAAAUCGGUCGCAGAGUAUAAAGGCAAAAGCGCGCUUGACUGCGAGACAGACACGUCGAGCAGGUACGAAAGUAGGUCUUAGUGAUCCGGUGGUUCUGUAUGGAAGGGCCAUCGCUCAACGGAUAAAAGGUACUCCGGGGAUAACAGGCUGAUACCGCCCAAGAGUUCAUAUCGACGGCGGUGUUUGGCACCUCGAUGUCGGCUCAUCACAUCCUGGGGCUGAAGCCGGUCCCAAGGGUAUGGCUGUUCGCCAUUUAAAGUGGUACGCGAGCUGGGUUUAGAACGUCGUGAGACAGUUCGGUCCCUAUCUGCCGUGGACGUUUGAGAUUUGAGAGGGGCUGCUCCUAGUACGAGAGGACCGGAGUGGACGAACCUCUGGUGUUCCGGUUGUCACGCCAGUGGCAUUGCCGGGUAGCUAUGUUCGGAAAAGAUAACCGCUGAAAGCAUCUAAGCGGGAAACUUGCCUCAAGAUGAGAUCUCACUGGGAACUUGAUUCCCCUGAAGGGCCGUCGAAGACUACGACGUUGAUAGGCUGGGUGUGUAAGCGUUGUGAGGCGUUGAGCUAACCAGUACUAAUUGCCCGUGAGGCUUGACCAU